rnacentral:rRNA from 1 species
UACGUAGGGGCCUAGCGUUGUCCGGAUUUAUUGGGCGUAAAGAGCUCGUAGGCGGUUUGUCGCGUCUGCCGUGAAAGUCCGGGGCUCAACUCCGGAUCUGGCGGUGGGUACGGGCAGACUAGAGUGAUGUAGGGGAGACUGGAAUUCCUGGUGUAGCGGUGAAAUGCGCAGAUAUCAGGAGGAACACCGAUGGCGAAGGCAGGUCUCUGGGCCACUACUGACGCUGAGAAGCGAAAGCAUGGGGAGCGAACAGG